UACGUAGGGUGCAGGCGUUAAUCGGAAUUACUGGGCGUAAAGCGUGCGCAGGCGGUUCGUGAUGUCUGAUGUGAAAGCCCCGGGCUCAACCUGGGAAUUGCAUUGGAAACUAGCGGGCUGGAGUGUGGCAGAGGGGGGUGGAAUUCCACGUGUAGCAGUGAAAUGCGUAGAGAUGUGGAGGAACACCGAUGGCGAAGGCAGCCCCCUGGGCUAACACUGACGCUCAUGCACGAAAGCGUGGGGAGCAAACAGG
rnacentral:rRNA from 1 species